UACGGGGGGGGCAAGCGUUGUUCGGAAUUACUGGGCGUAAAGGGCUCGUAGGUGGCCAACUAAGUCAGACGUGAAAUCCCUCGGCUUAACCGGGGAACUGCAUCUGAUACUGGAUGGCUUGAGAUUGGGAGAGGGAUGCGGAAUUCCAGGUGUAGCGGUGAAAUGCGUAGAUAUCUGGAGGAAUACCGGUGGCGAAGGCGGCAUCCUGGACCGGCAUUGACGCUGAGGAGCGAAAGCCAGGGGAGCAAACGGG
rnacentral:rRNA from 1 species